rnacentral:rRNA from 1 species
UAUUGGUCAAUGGGCGAGAGCCUGAACCAGCCAAGUCGCGUGAGGGACGACUGCCCUAUGGGUUGUAAACCUCUUUUGUAUGGGGGGAAUAAGCUUUACGAGAAGAAGGAUGACAGUACCAUAAGAAUAAGCAUCGGCUAACUCCGUGCCAGCAGCCGCGGUAAUACGGAGGAUGCGAGCGUUAUCCGUAUUUAUUGGGUUUACAGGGUUCGUAGGCGGCAUUAUAAGUUAGUGGUAAAAUAUUGGGGCUUCACCUCACUACGCCAUUAAUACUGUAGAGCUAGAGAACAGACGAGGUAGGCGGAAUAAGUUAAGUAGCGGUGAAAAUGCAUAGAUAUAACUUAGAACACCGAUAGCGAAGGCAGCUUACCAGACUGAGUCUGACGCUGAUGCACGAGAGCAUGGGUAGCGAACAG